rnacentral:misc_RNA from 1 species
CGCACGCGAAUGCGCGUGUAGUUGUCAGCACACACUGCCGCAGCCCUGGCAGCAACUGAAAGCGACGACGCAGGCACGUAAUCAAGCAGCAUCUCACCCCUCUCAGCGCCGGCCGUACAUCGAUGGCCCACACCGGGGGCGCCGGCACGCUUUGUGAGAAGGCGCCGGCGACGGCCGAGAGACCCACCUCAGAUGUUACGGUGCCGCAGCGGAGGAGGCACGCGACGCAGCUGCUGCGCAAGUUCACGGAGUGCCGCACCCUCUUCAUGUGCUGCGAUAUUCAGGAAAAGCUGGCGGAGAAGAUCCCUGGCUUUAACGAGACCAUCCGCAUCACGAACGACCUCACCCUCUUCUGUGAGAUGCUGGGCCCGACGUACUGCAACGUGUUGGCCACCGUGCAGUACCCGGCUGGCGUGGGGCCGCUCUACCACGAGAUUCAGCUGCCGCCCAGUGCCCCCGUGAUCCCAAAGAUGGAGCCAUCGAUGCUGUUGCCCGAAGCCCUGCCGUACCUCUACGGUGACGCGGACCACGGCAUUCUGCCGGUGCAGCAAGUCGUGCUUUGGGGGCACGAGACACACAUCUGCAUCAUGCAGACCGCGGACGAGCUGCUGCGCCGCGGCUUUCGCGUAGCGAUCGCGACGGACGGCUGUGCGGCGCAGCGGCGCCUCGACCACGAGGUCGCCAUUAUGGAGAUGUCCAAGUGGGAGGGGCUGCUGCUGACAAAUUCUAUCGGCGUGUACACGAUGAUCGUGCGCGCGGACGACAGCGUAUGGAAGCCGGUGAUGCAGCUUAUUCGAGAUGGCGCGCACGCGUUCAAGCGGCCCUACGAGCGCUCCGAGGACCCAACGGUGCCGCCGCAGGAGCGCGAGCGUCAAUCGUGACGCCGCAGUGACGGACUAGAUUGAAAGUAGAGAUGAAGCACCACGAGGAUGAGCACGCACAGGCCAUCGUUUCCGUGUCGUCGUCACGCCGACGUCGUGACGGUGCCGUGCACUGGCUCCUGCACACACACACACACACGCAGACGUGUCUCCCUGUCGUUUUGUGUGUUUGUGUGUGUGUGUGUGUGUGCUUGCUCCCUCUUUCUCUCUCCAGCUCGCUCGCUUCGAUCUGCCUCGCACACGCCCACCUCCUGUGCUGUGGCUUGCGGCGCAUAUUCGGUUGGACGCACGUCUCCUGUCUCCCUGCCGUACCUCCCCCCCCCCAUCCGCCUUUCAUGCGCCACCGCGUGCCGCAGCGUGAUGGGUGGGUGGGGGGCGGGGGAAGAAGCGGAAGCGAAGGCGCUUUGUUUUGCUCGUGUGCUCGUGUGUCUGUGUGCAAACGCCGCCAUGCUCGCGCGGUUGCCUGCUCAUGCCAUCAUGCAUCACCCCAUCUCGCCCAGCCGCAUCCUCCGGCUCCGCGCCACUCUCUUACACAUACACACACACCUUAUCGCUCUCGCUGCGCCCGCCGCCCCUCUUUACGGGAGCGCCACUGCGGUGAUGACGUUCUCGAGCCCCGCGCACGGCCUCUGCGGAGGCGGCGAAGGGCCGGGGGGGGAAGAGCAGAGUUUGCUUGACAAGCAAGAAGAUGCUCCACAGGCGAUC